GUGCCAGCAGCCGCGGUAAUACAGAGGGUGCGAACGUUGUUCGGAAUUAUUGGGCGUAAAGCGCUGGUAGGCGGUCUGACAAGUCGCGUGUGAAAGCUCGAGGCUCAACCUCGAAAGUGCGCGCGAAACUGGCGGACUUGAGUGUCGGAGAGGGUCGCGGAAUUCCCGGUGUAGAGGUGAAAUUCGUAGAUAUCGGGAGGAACACCAGAGGCGAAGGCGGCGACCUGGAAGAUGACUGACGCUGAGCAGCGAAAGCGUGGGGAGCAAACAGGAUUAGAUACCCUGGUAGUCC
rnacentral:rRNA from 1 species